rnacentral:sRNA from 1 species
AGUAAAAGUGGUAACAAGGUUUCACUAGGUGAACCUGCGGAAGGAUCAUUACUGAAGAAAUGGCAAGGCUUUUUGAGCUGGCUCCUAGGAGCAUGUGCUCAGCUCUGUCGCUUUUUCUACUUUCCACUGUGCACCUUAUGUAGGCUUAUGGAUAUCCCCUGGUACUGGGUUAUUGUUAUUGAAGGUUCGCCUUCUUGACUGUCCUUCGUAAGCCUAUGUUAUACAUACACUAGUAAAGUCUUUGAAUGUCUUAUUGUUGGUCUUGAUUGACCGAUAAAACACUAUACAACUUUCAGCAACGGAUCUCUUGGCUCUCGCAUCGAUGAAGAACGCAGCGAAAUGCGAUAAGUAAUGUGAAUUGCAGAAUUCAGUGAAUCAUCGAAUCUUUGAACGCAUCUUGCACCCUUUGGUAUUCCGAAGGGUAUGCCUGUUUGAGUGUCGUUGAAUUCUCAAAAGAACCCAGGUUUCGAUCAGGGCUUUUUUGGACUGUGAGGGCUGCUGGUCUCCUUAGAUCAGACUCCCUUUAAAUACAUUAGUGGUUACCGAUCCGCUUCCACUUAGGUGUGAUAGGUCUAUCUACGCCGCUUGGAAUGAUCAGUUGCUAUCCGCUCCCUAACCUUGUCCGUCUUAGGACAAAGCUUCUUUGACAAUUCGACCUCAAAUCAGGUAGGACUACCCGCUGAACUUAAGCAUAUCAAUAAGCGGAGGAA